rnacentral:misc_RNA from 1 species
UUUUUCCUAUGGUUAAUUAACCUACGACGUAUGUUAGAGGGACCCUAGCACGCACAUAAAAUCGAAUAGAGGCCUAGGGUGACGUUUGCAGCGUCAUUCGACAUCCGGCCGUCAGUUACGUUACACUAGAGGCUCAUUCAUGUACAAAUAUGGGCCAGAGUUCUAGUCGCAGUCAGUUAACACCGAAUCAAAUUCGCAAGCCAUCAAUGACAUCACCAAUAGACGCCGAAGAUAAACGUCUGGAAGAGCUAAGGGAUAUAGAAAGGCCAAAAUUGUAUCUAAAUCAGAUUGAAUUGAUUAGCAGUAGCUGGAAGAUGGCAGAAUCAGAUAUUGAGAAAGUUGGUGUGGUAAUGUUCAUACAGCUUUUCGAAACUCAUCCCGAUGUUAGAGACACAUUUACGCCAUUUAGAGGACUACCAGCUUCAGAAUUACAGUAUAGCUCUAUACUGAAAGCUCACGCUCUACGAGUUAUGGGAACAGUUGAAAAAGUUCUGGCAAGAAUCGACCAAAGACCUAAGCUAAUAGCAAUGCUUCACGACCUAGGCAGGAAACAUGCCACCUACAAAGCGAAAAGAGAAUACUUUGAUCUAAUUGGGCCACAAUUCCUCUUCGCCAUCCGACCGUCGAUCGAGAGCAUUUGGAGUGAUGAAUUAGAAGAAGCGUGGCUGACUUUGUUCCGUUUCGUCACACAUGUCAUGCGCGAAGUAAUUUACGAUUAAACAGUCAUGCCUCGCCAGGUGGCGAUAGUUGUAUUUUCAUAACGUGCGUUCUAACUCUGACACUAAGCCCUUAGUCCUUCUCUUUCUCUCUUCGCCUGAAAAAUCUUCCUUGUUAGAUACCGUUUUAGAAGGAUAAACUAGCCACAAGGAAUUUUUGUAAGCUCUACUAUGAGUUACUGUUUUAUAAAUACGUCAGUUUAAAUAAAAUCAUAACAGAGUGUGCUACUACCGAAACCUACUGUAUACAAUAGGGCACCAACACCGUUUUUGGAGACUACUCCGCUUUUCCUAAUACAAGAUUCAGUUUCUUUUCGAUCGUAAUAUUUUCCUUUUGAAUUACUGUUAAAAAGAAAUGAGGAAUGGGUAACUACAUCAAUACUCCUAACUCCUCCGAUGAAAAAGUACCAUCUUUUAAUAAAAAGCCUACGUUUACCGAGGAUGAUAAGCGUUUGGUAGAAUCUACCUGGACUCAUCUACAAAAAGACGUCUCCAAGGUUGGCGUGGUAACAUUUAUCGGGUAAGAGAUACAUUUUAGGUUUCUUUCAACAGAAAGUUUUUUACAAUCUCCUCUCUAUUCCAUAUAUAUUAUUACACAUCUGAAGCUUUUACAUUUUCACCUUAAUUCGUUCUAAUUAAGGAAAACGGCGAACAAGGAUCCUAGAUAUUGCAAAUUUUGUAUGCAAUUAAAAGAAUUAGGAGCUCUGCCAAAGAUCCUCCUAAGGGUAGUUUAUUAUCCUAAAGUAAUGGAAAUACUAAUAAUCACAGUAGCGAGUAUGACAACAAUGCCAAUGGCAUUAACUUUUUUUCAAGAUUAUGCUGGAGAGAUGUAAAGAGAACGAGUGAUAGUGAAAAGAAGAAAACGAAGAGAGAGAGAGGGGGAGAGAGAGAUAUAAGGGCAAUGAACGGAAGAAAAAAAAACUAACAGAAACCUUUAUAAUUAAUUUUGUACGGCAGAAGGCAUAAACAGCUGUAAGGCCAGUUAGUUUGCUUUUUCCCUCUCUUUUUUCCCAAAUAUCACAAGGAUUUUGAAAAAGUUACUUGGUUUAGCAAAGAGAUAGGGCAUUAUGAUUUUAUUUAUAUACAUUUACCAGUGAGUUUAAUAGAUCAUUGCGUGUCUAGAGAUAGAAUAAAAGUGAAUUAAUACGACACAUUUGUUCUUUCGUUAUUAAGAAUAAAUCAGUUAUUAGAAAAUUCAAGCAAUCUACUAAAAAAAAAAACCUAUUCGAUGAUUUUCUCUUCUGUAUACAUGGAUUUCCUUACAUUUCCCUUCUUUUUCCUCCAAUCUAUCUUAUUCACUUACUUAUUCACUCAGCUAUUCUUUUCUUCUUCUUUUUUUCCUUCAUCAUAUCUUUGUUCCAUUAUGCAUUUAUUUUCAGAAUUAUUAAUCAAGAAAUUUACAAGAUGAAAUAUCUAACAAACUGCUGAGUCUUGUAAAAAAAAAACCUAUAUAGAUUAGACAUAUGACAUGUACUGUGUCUAUCUUAAUUUGAAGGCUAUAAGUUACCUUAUUUUUUUCCUUCACUUCCGUUUUCAACCACUUCUGUAGUGAUUAGGAUUUUUUUUUUUGGUUAAAAUGUAACCCUUUAGGGACUUUCGUUCAUCGAUAGAGGAUUGAUUCAUCUAGUUUAGUUGAUUAACGACGUUUUAGUUUAGGCGGAGAACACAGAUGGUACAAGACUCCAGAGAUCAUUCUCUCUAUGACUGAAAAUGAAUGCGUCUUUUCACUGUCAAGAUUUGAUAUACAUUUUUAAUUGAUGUAUUAUAUAUUUUAGAGGCAGAAUUUAUUUAUACGAAAGUGUAAAUAUUGUACAUAAGCAUAUUUGCUUAUAUGUAUAAUGUACUUAAUAUAUUAUACAUUACAUAUACAUUGAAUUAUUUCGUAUAUAUACGUAUGACUUGGAUAUUCUAUCUUUACUAUUAAGGCAGGG